rnacentral:tRNA from 3 species
CGGAGUAUAGCUCAGAUGGCUAGAGCGCAGCGUUCGGGACGCUGAGGUCGUGAGUUCAAGUCUCACUACUCCGACCA